GCGCAGCAGGCGCGAAAGCGCGAUGAGGGAAUCCCAAGUGCUUGCACGUAAGUGUAAGCUGUUUCUCUGUCUAAAAAGCAGAGAGAGUAAGGGCUGGGUAAGACGGGUGCCAGCCGCCGCGGUAAUACCUGCAGCUCCGAAGUGGUGGCCGCUAUUAUUGGGCCUAAAACGUCCGUAGCCGGUCUAGUAAGUUGCCUGGGUAAAUCGUGAGGCUUAACCUUACGAAUUCCGGGUAGACUGCUAGACUUGAGACCGGGAGAGGGCUAGAGGUACUCCUGGGGUAGAGG
rnacentral:rRNA from 1 species